rnacentral:rRNA from 1 species
GAUGAACGCUGGCGGCGUGCCUAAUACAUGCAAGUCGAGCGAACAGACGAGGAGCUUGCUCCUCUGACGUUAGCGGCGGACGGGUGAGUAACACGUGGAUAACCUACCUAUAAGACUGGGAUAACUUCGGGAAACCGGAGCUAAUACCGGAUAAUAUAUUGAACCGCAUGGUUCAAUAGUGAAAGACGGUUUUGCUGUCACUUAUAGAUGGAUCCGCGCCGCAUUAGCUAGUUGGUAAGGUAACGGCUUACCAAGGCAACGAUGCGUAGCCGACCUGAGAGGGUGAUCGGCCACACUGGAACUGAGACACGGUCCAGACUCCUACGGGAGGCAGCAGUAGGGAAUCUUCCGCAAUGGGCGAAAGCCUGACGGAGCAACGCCGCGUGAGUGAUGAAGGUCUUCGGAUCGUAAAACUCUGUUAUUAGGGAAGAACAAAUGUGUAAGUAACUAUGCACGUCUUGACGGUACCUAAUCAGAAAGCCACGGCAAACUACGUG